GAUGAACGCUGGCGGCGUGCCUAAUGCAUGCAAGUCGAGCGGCAACAGAUCCUUAUCUCUGAUAAGGGUGCUGGCGAAGCGGCAAAACGGGUGAGUAAUACAUGGGUAACCUACCCUGAAGAAGGGGAUACCCCACCGAAAGGUGGUUCAAUACCCUAUAAUCUUUAGAAAGGAAGCUUUUUAAAGUAAAGGUGGUAAGUCUACUUACUACCACUUCAGGAUGGGCUCAUGGCCUAUCAGCUAGUUGGUGAGUUAAAAGCUCACCAAGGCGAAGACGGGUAGCUGACCUGAGAGGGUGAUCAGCCACAUUGGGACUGAGACACGGCCCAAAACUCCUACGGGAGGCAGCAGCAGGGAAUAUUGGGCAAUGGGGGAAACCCUGACCCAGUGACGCCGCGUGCAGGAAGGAGCCCUUCGGGGUGUAAACUGCUGUCGUGUAGGGAGAAGGGUACUAAAGGUGAACAAUCUUAGUACUUGACGGUACUACAGGAGGAAGCCCAGGCUAAACCUCGUGCC
rnacentral:rRNA from 1 species